CACUAUUUUACUUGCCAAAAGCAAAACAUUGUUGAUUUUGCCAACUAAAAUCGGCCUCAACAUGACUUUUCAUUUAGCUUCAGAGGUACACUCCCAUCUAAUCUGAGAAAUUUCUUCUCUCGUGACCAUUGGACAAGUCAGAGGAACACAAGGAAAUCUUUGAAAGAUGGAGGAAAUGCAGAAUAUGGCAGUCACUGAAGUUGUGUCAUCUGCACUAUUUGCUUGUAUUUCACUAUGGUCCUGAAAGUCCUGUGCUUCUAGAAAAGGCAAGAGCUAACUGGGUCAUGCAUUUCACUAUGGAAAGAUAUGAAGAAGUUUCCAGUUCAAAAUAACUACAUGAUCAUGAAGCUGCUAGGGUCUUCCUUCACAUUAUCUGUGAGUUCCAAGCAAAAGCAAAUGGAUAAUCAUGACACGAGAGGAUAACUUGAGAACAAGCAACUGAUGAGUUUCUCAUUGGCUAAAAGAUGAUCGGGAAGCCACUCAUGGUUGAUUCCUCAGACAUUCUGCUCACCGUUGAGUCAGGUUUUGAUUGGAAACAAUAGAACAACGACUGAUGCCCAGACCAACGUCAUUGUUUUAAAACAAAAUGAGAUGUAAGCUCCAGAAUGAACAACUAAAGAAAACUAGAGCCUUUGGCAUCUGCUGCAACCAAAGACUCUGACAUUUAGGGAUGACAUCCAGGGACUUCAUUCACCAGGGCCCGGGAUUUCUAAAGAGAGGCAAAGCAGACAGUCCUUAUUUUAGAAGAAACUCACUCUGUUUAAGGAAAAUAUAACUUAAUUAAAAAAAUGAUGUAAGAGGAAAGAGAAGCAUGGAAGGGGGAGAUGAAGCAAAGAGAAGAGACGAAACAAAUGGGAGAUCAAAUGCCGAGCCUGAUGUGUGUCUGGAUAAUUCACUGGCUGCUUAUCGCACAGUUGGAGAAUGCCUUCAGUAUGAUCCUUUGAAAGAGGUAAUAAAUCACAGACAGAGGACAAUUAAAUUCACUUGGCUGAAAUCUUAGCUCAAUUGUUGCUGGAAAUGCCCCAAUCCUUCGUCUCCUUAUAAUUAAAUGGUGAUAAUCUCAGCUAUCUAGUUAUGUUCUUGAGAAUCAAAAUGAAUGCCAUGUGAUAGCAGUUAAAUGGUAGCAAACUUUACCGAUUGCUAUUGAACCGUGUUUUAGUUUAACAUAGUUCUGAGAAAUUCUCAAUGGAAACUGAUUUCAACUGAGAAAGAACAAAUCUGAAAAAGAGCGUGAAAAAUUCUUCACAUGAAAUCGAGUUUAUGGCAGGUAAAAAUAUAAAGAUAGCAACUAUAAUGUUUUCCUUCUCAUCUUCACACAGAAGACUGUGCUUCUCCUGUGAAAUCUAUCCUUGUCCUAAGAUUUUAAACAUCGAUAUAUGACGAUGUGUAGAGAAAGGUUUAACAAGCAAAAACCACACAGGAUUUUCUCUUUAAAAAUAAUCUGAGCUCUGUGAACUAAACUGCUAGGGAACCAUAUUCUUUAUAUUCUACCAUGUUUCCUGACAUGAUUUAAAAGGUUAUAAAUUUUUCAUUAUUGGAUAUGUGUCUCAAGUCUUGCAAAGAAUGAUCUCUGCCCCCAGCAUACAUAAAUUUGGAAUUGGGAGCUGCAUGUGAAAUGUUUAAACUUCUUGUGAAAUAACUCAUUCUGACACUCUUAUAAUUGCAGGGCUACUCCAGACCCCCGGGAAAGAGGUGGUAUGUCCUUGCCAUACAAAACUAGGGCUACUUGAAUAGCACAAUGGGAGUCAUGCGUCUGGAUAACUGAUUUUAGUCAAGCUUCUAAGAUGCACAGAUUUGAGCUCUUCUUAGAAUUUCCUCUAAAGUGGGGGUGAGAGAUGAUAGAGAUUUAAGAGCAAAGUAGGAUUGAGCCUGUUUUUUGACUGGUUUUCCUAACAGAUAUGAGGAAUAUGGAACACUUUUAAGUUGGAAGAAUUUCUAUGUAUGAAGAAGUGCUCUGCUUUUCAGGGCACAGCUGCUUCGAAGACCUGAGGCUGAUUUUGCACAUCACAAAAUCUGAUUGGAAGGAGAUCAGUGGGCGGCAUUCCCUAGCACCAUUUUCAUUCCAGGCUGUAAUUAAGAAUAUCACUUCAAAUGCUUAAUUUCCUCAUAUCGUAUCACUCACAGAUUUUAUUUUGAAGCCUUGAAUCUGCAAUAAGAAACUGAGAAGAGCCCCUUAGAAUACAGAGUGGUCAGUCCUUUCAUUAAUUGCUUACCUUCUGCUAUAACAGGCCAUCCUGUUUAUGCCUUCUUCUGGUUUCUACUAUUUGUCCUUAAGAUUAUUU